UGGAGGAACAUUUUCAGGAGACGUUGGCUGGAAGAACUUGGUAUGAUGAUUCUUUUGAGCCACCAACAAAAGGAACUUUGGGUUCCAAUUUGCGUCUAAGAGCUUGCAAGCCU
rnacentral:sRNA from 1 species